UACGUAGGGUGCAAGCGUUAAUCGGAAUUACUGGGCGUAAAGCGUGCGCAGGCGGUGAUGUAAGACAGUUGUGAAAUCCCCGGGCUCAACCUGGGAACUGCAUCUGUGACUGCAUCGCUGGAGUGCGGCAGAGGGGGAUGGAAUUCCACGUGUAGCAGUGAAAUGCGUAGAGAUGUGGAGGAACACCGAUGGCGAAGGCAGCCUCCUGGGCCAGCACUGACGCUCAUGCACGAAAGCGUGGGGAGCAAACAGG
rnacentral:rRNA from 1 species